UACAUUUUUUCAUACUUUGUGCUUUUUUUGUAUUUGUAGGGUUAAAUAUUUGAAUUGGAAUGUUCUAGAACAGACAAAUGAGUCCCAGAUGCCCAGGCCUGCUCUCCCAACUUUUCCACCUAAGCCCAGAGGCCUACGGGCAGGAGAAGUUGUAUCCGGUUUUAAAAUAUUGACAAGUGACUAAAAAACAAUCUCAAGACAUUGAUGGGCCACAUAGAUCAAGACUCUGGCUCCAGUGAAGACUUCAAGCUGCCUCGACAUGAUGCCCGGAGUUCUCCACUGAGGGUGCUGUCUCAGAACACAGCAAGACUCUGCCAGGACUUGCCGGUGACAGAGUGAACAUAUUCCUGUGUUCUCACGGCAGAGCAGAGCCAGAGUCUCUGGGCCAGAAUGUGAGCAAGUCAUUUCUACUACCUGUGCAUCAAGAAUAUAGCUUCUUUCUUCAUGGGUUGUUACUGGACACACAGGACUCUAACUGCCUUAAAGAAGGGGCCACGCUUUCCUGACCCUAGGGCGAUGGAAACUCAAUUGUCAAUUUCGGGGAUCCCACCCUCACCUUUGGGCACUCAGCAGCGCCAGCUGAGUUUCCAGAAAGACUGUGUUGGUGACGGCAAAGCUGUUUAUUCACUGAGAGAAGCUGACAAAUAUCCUGGAGCAAAGGUCAGUCCGUCUUUCUUGCUCUGACCUUGCCGCAGCCAGGGUCACACGCCCAGAGGAGGGACGUGGCGGAGGAGCCGGCGGGGACACACCAGGACCUGGUGUUGAGGACUGCGUGAUAAAAAUCUCAGUCACCUCUUGUGUGUGGUGUAUGCUGAGGGGAAACUUCAGCAAAAUCCAGACAUUUCUAGGCAGAAAUGUCCACUGAGCCAUUAUAAGCCCAGAAGAGCCGGAGACAUAAACCAGGAAGGAAAUAUUUGCCAUACAGGGGAAAUGUCAUCAGCGGCUGACUCUGCUCUCUGACCCGUGGCCCUGAAUCACCAAAGAAGUGAACACCCCAGGGAGGCUGGUCCCUGCCCACUGGCUGAUCGCUGAGAACAGGCCUCUGAGGUAAGGAACUGUGAUUAUCGUUUCCACUUUAUGGAGGAGAAAACCAAGGAGUUGCGUGGCAUAGCCCAUGCCUGACUUUGGAGUCUGCACGCCCACCACUGUACCACACGGCCUCUCUUCAAUAAGCAAGGGCUGGGACUACUCACCACUCAAGCCCUGAUCCACACAGUGGUCCGUGCCUAGGAGCCAACUCCACAUCAGUGGUUCUUGCCUUUCUCGAUCACAGACCCCUUUAACACUCGCCCCAGGAAAAUGUGUGCAUGCACACACACUCACACCCCUUAAGAAAUUCACAGAUCCCCCCCCCUCCUCAAGCCUUUCCAGGGCAAGUGGGUGAUGGGAAAGACUUCUGGGGUGAGUGUUUCAGCCGGGGGAUAUUCUCCAGUCUGGAACAAAAGAGCAUGGCUUUGAAUUUUAAGAGAUUUACUUUAUUGAGAGAGUGAAAAGUCAGGGGCGCCUGGGUGGCUCAGUCGGUUAAGCACUCUUCGUUUGGGCUCAGGUCACGAUCUCACCUUGGUGAGACUGAGACCGGCAUUGGGAUUGUCUCUUUUUCUCCUUCUUCCUCUGCCCCUCCCCUACUCACACACAUGCG